CCUGCUGUUCUGCCAGCAGUAACCUAGCCAGACGUGCGGUUGAAGUAAUUCGACGGUGCGGAGCUCUGGUAACAAAGUAGCCCAUAGGACAAAUCGUGAGAUGAGUCCGAUUUGCAAGCACGAAUGUAAAUGGGAGC
rfam:Planctomycetes bacterium GWF2_42_9 gwf2_scaffold_25082, whole genome shotgun sequence.